UGACCGCUGGCGGCGUGCCUACUACAUGCAAGUCGAGCGACCGGACGAGAAGCUUGCUUCUCUGAUGUUAGCGGCGGACGGGUGAGUAACACGUGGAUAACCUACCUAUAAGACUGGGAUAACUUCGGGAAACCGUAGCUAAUACCGGAUAAUAUUUUGAACCGCAUGGUUCCAAAGUGAAAGACGGUCUUGCUGUCACUUAUAGAUGGAUCCGCGCUGCAUUAGCUAGUUGGUAAGGUAACGGCUUACCAAGGCAACGAUGCAUAGCCGACCUGAGAGGGUGAUCGGCCACACUGGAACUGAGACACGGUCCAGACUCCUACGGGAGGCAGCAGUAGGGAAUCUUCCGCAAUGGGCGAAAGCCUGACGGAGCAACGCCGCGUGAGUGAUGAAGGUCUUCGGAUCGUAAAACUCUGUUAUUAGGGAAGAACAUAUGUGUAAGUAACUGUGCACAUCUUGACGGUACCUAAUCAGAAAGCCACGGCUAACUACGUG
rnacentral:rRNA from 1 species